rnacentral:rRNA from 1 species
GCCUAUGGCCAUACCAGUCUGAAAGUGUCAGAUCUCUGAAGUCAUGCAGACUUGGACCUGAUUAGUACUUGUAUGGGAGACCAACUAGGAACCUCAGGUGCCGUAAGCU